GUAGGGUGCAAGCGUUAAUCGGAAUUACUGGGCGUAAAGCGUGCGCAGGCGGUGAUGUAAGACAGGUGUGAAAUCCCAGGGCUUAACCUUGGAACUGCAUUUGUGACUGCAUCGCUGGAGUGCGGCAGAGGGGGAUGGAAUUCCGCGUGUAGCAGUGAAAUGCGUAGAUAUGCGGAGGAACACCGAUGGCGAAGGCAAUCCCCUGGGCCUGCACUGACGCUCAUGCACGAAAGCGUGGGGAGCAAACAGGAUUAGAUACCCUGGUAGUCCACGCCCUAAACGAUGUCAACUGGUUGUUGGUCCUUCACUGGAUCAGUAACGAAGCUAACGCGUGAAGUUGACCGCCUGGGGAGUACGGCCGCAAGGUUGAA
rnacentral:rRNA from 1 species